GGCCUUUCUUAGUUGGUGGAGCAAUUUGUCUGGUUAAUUCCGAUAACAAACGAGACUCUGGCAUGCUAACUAGUUACGCGACCCCCGAGCGGUCAGCGUCCCUCAACUUCUUAGAGGGACAAGUGGUGUUCAGCCACCCGAGAUUGAGCAAUAACAGGUCUGUG
rfam:TPA: Bos taurus chromosome 3, whole genome shotgun sequence.